rnacentral:tRNA from 1 species
GCCGACGUAGCUCAAUCGGCAGAGCAUCUGUCUUGUAAACAGAAGGUCAGGGGUUCGAUUCCCCUCGUCGGCUCUA